GACGAACGCUGGCGGCGUGCCUAAUACAUGCAAGUAGAACGCUGAAGGAGGAGCUUGCUCUUCUGGGUGAGUUGCGAACGGGUGAGUAACGCGUAGGUAACCUGCCUGGUAGCGGGGGAUAACUAUUGGAAACGAUAGCUAAUACCGCAUAACAGUAGAUGUUGCAUGACAUUUACUUAAAAGGUGCAAUUGCAUCACUACCAGAUGGACCUGCGUUGUAUUAGCUAGUUGGUGGGGUAACGGCUCACCAAGGCGACGAUACAUAGCCGACCUGAGAGGGUGAUCGGCCACACUGGGACUGAGACACGGCCCAGACUCCUACGGGAGGCAGCAGUAGGGAAUCUUCGGCAAUGGACGGAAGUCUGACCGAGCAACGCCGCGUGAGUGAAGAAGGUUUUCGGAUCGUAAAGCUCUGUUGUAAGAGAAGAGCGAGUGUGAGAGUGGAAAGUUCACACUGUGACGGUAUCUUAACAGAAAGGGACGGCUAACUACGUG
rnacentral:rRNA from 1 species